GUUUGGGGAAGGGAAGGUGCGGGGGCGGGAAAGGGGUGUACAGGCGCUUGGGCUGGGAGGGUUGGUCGGCGCGGGCUGAGGGAGGCGCCAAGGCCCGAGCAGAGGAGGGGGCGCCGCCCUGCGUUCCCCUCCCCUCCCCGCGCUCACGAGAUUUUCCACUCGCCGCCUGGCCCCCAGCCAACCCCCGGCAGGCUCCACAAAGCCGCUUUGUGCAGGGAGGGCGGACGGGUGCCCGGCCGGCCUGACACCCACGCGGGCCGCGGCGGGGCGCCGGCCAGCUGGCACCCGAGCUGUCUGCGGUGGGAGGGAGGGUACCCCACCCAGCCCGAGGACGCGGCAGCGCAGGGGUUAAUCGCUCAGGGGCGGAGAAGCAGGUCUCGGCCAAUCAGCGGUCAGCGGGCGAGACGGCAGCCAAUGAGAAGGACGGAGGCCCGACACAGGAGGGUGGGAGAGCGGAGGAUUACGCGGAGCAACUCAGGAACCUCUCCAGAGCCAGUGUACCCUAAGAUUUCCCACUUGCUGAGUCUACUGUCUCCAUCCCACCAUCCCCAAGGCCUCCUCUCUGGCUGCUGUCAACUCAUGUGAUACCUCAGUCAGCACCAGGCACAGGUGAGCACCUGAGUCCCCUGAGUAUACACACUCUGGCUCCUUGGGGAACAGACACCUGCUGGCUCUGCAAAGGACACAGAGCACAUGCUCUGAAUGCCCCAAGGGGACAUCAAAAGCACUAACAGUUCACACCUAUGGAGCACUCCCUGUGUCCUGAACUCCAUGCUAAGCUUGCCUUUAUUAACCUGUUUCAUCCUCACAACAGCCCUAAAAGCAGGUGCUACUAUCGGCCUCAUUUCACACCUGAGGAAACUGAGCCACAAAAAGAUGAGACAACUUGUCCAAGAUCAUCCAGGUGGGAAACAGCAGUGCUAGGGUCUGAACCCAGGCUCUCUGGCUCCAGAGUCCGUGCUCCUGACCAUUUCAGUGUGCUGCCUGUCACAUGAUCCAGAGGGCACAUUUACUCGCACUGUCACCAUGCAGAGAGUACAUGCACUCAGACACACACACACAUGCACAAGUACCAAGUCACAAAAAGGGUGGUGACUGGGCUGUGAUAUGAGCCUUUCUCCACCCCCCCACCCU
rnacentral:lncRNA from 1 species